rnacentral:lncRNA from 1 species
CAUGAAAAGACACAGGGAGUGAUACUCAGGUCACAGGGAAGUUGCUUGAAGACGAGGGAGCUGUAUCUCCAAGGAAACACUCCAAAUGAGUUGCUGUGGGCCACCGUGGGCGUGGGUUUACUGUAGCUUAUGGAAAUAACCCACAGCACCCACUGAGAUGUGUGUAUAGAUUGCAGUCAGGAAAUGGAGGGAAUCCUGCAUUAAGCCGAAACGGUGGGAUUUAAAAAUGCCUAAGAGCGACUCUCUGGGUGGAAUCUGGUCAGAGCACCCAUCAGCUUUCCCUCUCAUCAGCAGUUGGGAGAAAAAUUACAUACUUUGGAUAUCCAAACCCGAAUCCAGGGUGUUCAGCCCUUCAGCUAUCUACCUUUCUGUAAUUAACCCUAUUUGUCACCAAUCCUCAUACUACAUGCUGUGAGGGCCAGCCAGUGCAGACCCUAACAUCUCCUAUAAACGAAACAUUCAGUCCUUUCCCCACCAACCCUAUUUGUUCUACUUUCAGUCUUUAUAUAACUCCCAACUCAUCUUUUCCUGUGACCUCAUCGACUGGUCCUUGUCACAUCAGACCAUCACCAGUUAUCCGUCAACUCCGUGCUCACUCUGACUGUGUAUUGACUUGGACCUGGCACCGGACUUGGUUCUGAGGAUACAUAGC